rnacentral:rRNA from 1 species
ACAGUGGACGCGAGCAUCUGUGGCCAAGUUUUUAAGGGCGCACGGUGGAUGCCUUGGCACCAGGAACCGAUGAAGGACGUGGGAGGCCGCGAUAGGCCCCGGGGAGUCGUCAACCAGGCUUUGAUCCGGGGGUGUCCGAAUGGGGAAACCCGGCAGUCGUCAUGGGCUGUCACCCUUGUCUGAACACAUAGGGCAAGUGGAGGGAACGCGGGGAAGUGAAACAUCUCAGUACCCGCAGGAAGAGAAAACAACCGUGAUUCCGGUAGUAGUGGCGAGCGAAACCGGAUGAGGCCAAACCGUAUGCGUGUGAGACCCGGCAGGGGUUGCGCAUUCGGGGUUGUGGGAUCUCUCUUUCAUGGUCUGCCGGCCAUGAGACGAGUCAGAAACCGUUGAUGUAGGCGAAGGACAUGCGAAAGGUCCGGCGUAGAGGGUAAGACCCCCGUAGUCGAAACGUCAGCGGCUCGUUUGAGAGACACCCAAGUAGCACGGGGCCCGAGAAAUCCCGUGUGAAUCUGGCGGGACCACCCGCUAAGCCUAAAUAUUCCCUGGUGACCGAUAGCGGAUAGUACCGUGAGGGAAUGGUGAAAAGUACCCCGGGAGGGGAGUGAAAUAGUACCUGAAACCGUGUGCCUACAAGCCGUGGGAGCGUCGCGUUGAGUGCUUGCACUCAACGUCGUGACUGCGUGCCUUUUGAAGAAUGAGCCUGCGAGUUUGCGGUGUGUUGCGAGGUUAACCCGGGUGGGGUAGCCGUAGCGAAAGCGAGUCCGAAGAGGGCGGUGGAGUAGCACGCUCAAG